GAUGAAGAACGCAGUGAAAUGCGAUAAGUAAUGUGAAUUGCAGAAUUCAGUGAAUCAUCGAAUCUUUGAACGCACAUUGCGCCCGCUGGUAUUCCGGCGGGCAUGCCUGUUCGAGCGUCAUUUCAACCCUCAAGCCCCCCGGGUUUGGUGUUGGGGAUCGGCUCUGCCUCACGGCGGUGCCGCCCCCGAAAUACAUUGGCGGUCUCGCUGCAGCCUCCUCUGCGUAGUAGUUUUCUCCUCGCAAGGGCAGCUCGGUGGCGACCUCGCCGUAAAACCCCCAACUUCUGAAAGGUUGACCUCGAAUCAGGUAGGAAUACCCGCUGAACUUAAGCAUAUCAAUAAGCGGAGGA
rnacentral:misc_RNA from 1 species